UUAGAAUUACGAUUACGCCUUUACUAGUAGCAUCUUCUUUUCCUGCUACUCUAGCUAUUCUAGAAACUAAAUAAAGCCUUCACUUCAAGCUUUGUUUGGGGUGGCCUUUCUUCUUUUGCGGCGUCUGAACUUUUUGAAUUCAAAAACCCUUGUUGCUAGACUUUCAAUAUUGCUAAUAUCGAGCAAAGAAAAGAGUUUUCUUCUGACUUUUUCUAAAAUAAGUCCUAAGUAUAAGUACCCGGGGUACUCUAACUCUCUUUUUUUAAGACUAAACCCAG
rnacentral:misc_RNA from 1 species